AUAUCUUUAUUUUACCUUGAUUCUUCAAAUACUGUAUGUUUUUUCCAGGUUUAGAAUUCUAGGUUGCCAGUAAUUCCUUUCAGCCCAUGAAGCCACCAUUCUGGUUUUCCGGCCUCCACUGAUCCUGUGAAGCCAGCAGUGUCACUCCUGUAGAGAAUAUUUAUAAACAUAUGGAAAAAUGAGCACAUGGCAUGGAAGGUUCCUGUAUACCCCGGACCCAACUUCCCCUAACUUUAACAUUUCACAAUAAUAUGGUACGUUCGUCACAGUACUUGCACAUUAUUAUAAACCAGUAUUUAUAUGUUGUUAACAACUAAAGUUCAUAGUUCAUUCAGACUUCUUUGGUUUUGGCCUCUCUCUGUUCCAGGAUCCCAUCCAGGAUCCCAUAUUACAUUUCGUUGCCAUGCGUCCUUAGACUCCUUGUGGCUGUGAUAGUUUCUCAGAUUUUCCUUGUUUUCGAUGACCUCUGCAGUUUUAAGGAGGACCGGUCAGGUAUUUGGAGGAUGUCUUUGGGAUUUGUCAGAUGUCUUCUCUUUGAUUAGACUGACAUUAUGUGCUUUGGGGAGGAAGACCACAGGUAAAAUGCUACUCUCAUCACUUCAUAUCAAGGGUACAUGCUCUCAAAAUGACCUCAUUUGGCUGAGGUAGUGUCUGCAGGUUUCUCCACUGUGGGUAACUUUCCCCAACCACACUGCCAUGUACUCUAGGGGAGGGGGUCACUGGGCACCGCUGCUACUUACGGAACGGGAGUCAUGGUUCACGUCCAUGAGGACAGAGUUAUCUACAGAAAUUACUUGGAUUUCUUCUGCAUGGGAGAUUUCUAGUCUCUCCUAUUUAUAUCAGGAUAGACUCAUGGAUAUUUAAACUUUGGAUUAUAAGCCAGUACACCAUUAUUUUGUGCUUAAAUUUAGUUUUGGCCAUUCAGAGCCUUUUCGUUUGGCUCCUCUGUCCCUUUGACAUAACCCCAUCUUUGAUCAUUGGCUUUUUGUUUAAGCGCUUCUGUACUUCAUGACACUAGUGUUCUCCAGGCAUGUGUUGUACAUUUUCUGCCCUGGCCCUGGAAUCUGCCAUUUCUCUAAGAUUUGAUUCCUUUCAUUGGAGAAUGGUUACGAGAAACCUGAAACUAAGUAUGCUCAUUGCUACUGCAGUGUCCUUGCUUCCUGGCCCCCUCAGUUGAUGGUGCAAGGAAGUACUCAGACACAUACACCUAACUAGAAAUAUUUUUUUUUAAAGAUUUUAUUUAUAUUUUGACAGCACAAGCAGGGGGAGCGGCAGAGGGAGAGGGAGAAGCAGACUCCCCAGCUGAGCAGGGAGCCUGAUACGGGGCUCGAUCCCAGGACCCUGGGAUCAUGACCUGAGCUGAAGGCAGCCACUUAACCGAGCCACCCAGGGGCCCCUAGAAAUAUUUCUGUAUAGGAUCAUCUGUAUCAGUAUUAAAUGAAAUAUUAAUUUAUGCUGUUACCUCCAACUGUAAUUCAUUAUGUGAGUCAUUCUAGCCUUCUCCCCUUGCUUAUCUGUAACCUCCUGCUUCAACAGUGAGAAUACUGGCUCCCACCAUCCGCCAUCUGUAUCACAGUAUCAUCAGUUACUCUGUGACCAUCAUUACUGGCAAACUGUUAACUUCCUCCUGUUUUUAAAAGAUGAAUGAUAGAAUAUUGUACAAACUGUCCUGCACUUGAAUGUUUCACUGGCAGACAUCAUCGACUGGGUAUCAUUCCUUGCUGGUUCACACAGAUCGACCUUGUGUUUUUUGAAGGCUGCAUAACGUUCCAUGGUAUUAAUGUCCUUAUUCAACAUCUUUCCUAUUGAUGGGCAUCUGGACUAUUUCCAAUUUUUUGUACAUAGUCCUACAGCAGGAUUAUGUUGCUUCUGUGAACAUGUGGGAGGUUUUCACUCAAGGGAAGUGCUUGAUCAAAGGGUGUGGAUAUUUAAACACCUCAGUGAUUUGUCCAGUUGCCCUCCAAAGCCUGGGCCAGUUGAUAUGCUCACCAUCAGCAUGAAUAUAGUUUUCUGAUGCCAGCUGCAAGGCAGAGAUCAGUACCCGUCAACCUGUGGUUUUUGCCAAUCAUGUGAAGGGAAUUUGCUUGUUGUCAUAGGCACAGCAAAUGCCUAUGACAGACUAACUCUAGAAAGGUAUAUUUUGGUCCAAAUUUUUAACUUUUUACAGUCAAUUUAUCCCUUUUCUCCUGGGAUUUUGUGUCCUGCUUGGAAAGCCUUGUCAUCUUCCAUGUUCUUAGUACUUUUAUGGUUUUCUUAAAAAACCCCAGACAUGUAAAUAGGCAUAACGAACACCCGCAUAUCUAACACUUUUUUUUUUUUUUCCAGAUUUUGAACUUUGUAUACACCACACUUAGUUUCCACUGUGCGGAGGGAUUUCUGUCGAUAUCUGCAGUUCUAGUUUACUCAUUUUCACUGCUGCCGAGUCCUCUAAACCCGUCUCAAAGGCACGUACCUGUUUCCCUGCUGCUGUUGGUCACUUCGGUGGUUCUGAUGCUUUUAUACACAUGCUGGUGUGACUCUUCCAGGACGCGUAAGGACUCUCUAAGGUGGUGCAGGAGUGGGCCCGCCAGGCCGCACGGUGAGGGCGUGCAGAGAGCUGCCAGAGCACUUGUUCUGAGGCGUAGAGGGUGGUUCUCCACCUCCUUGGUGUCACACGGCCCCUUUGUCAGCUGCCGGGCAUGAAUGCUGUCUCACAGGGAAUUGGCUGGUGGGGCUGUACAUCUAUUGUUUAGAAGCCAUUCACGUAUUCUUUCAUCUGGGUCAUUUAGCGCUUUUCCUUUUAGGGGUAUAGUUUCAUUUUUCAAAAAAUUUUUUUGAUGCAUUUGCAACUGAUUCGGUAUAAGGGGGAUACAGCUGUUUUUUUCGAUGACCAACAACAUAGCCAAUAUCCUGACUUUCACCUACUAAAAUGAAAUGCCACCUUUCUCACACUGUGCAUUUAACCUGGAGCUUUGUAUCUGAGGGGUUUGCUACACUUCCUUGCUAUUCUUUUUCUUUGUUCUUGUUUGACUAAAAUGUCUGCUGGUAUUUUAUCAUUAAUAUAUGAAUUACAUAUUACCUCAAGAUGUUGAUUCUCCCUGAAUUAUUAAACUUCCCUAAGAACAAGAUAUUAUCGAUCUAAUAAGACUCCUAGGGCUUUUUGUUCCCUUGUAGGCAUUGUCCCUUCUGUUGCCUGACUGCAGACUGUCGACAGUGCUGAGUAGUGGGCUCUAGUGUACGGGGAGUGGAAUUCUGGUUGUAUCAAUACUUCUGGUUUUUCAGUAGGUUAUAAAAUGGGAAUUAUGGAUACUGCUUUUUUCAUGUCAAGAAUGGAUGUUAGUUUAUCAAAUAUUUUUCCAUCUCGUAGUCACUAGGACUUGUGUUUUGUUAUUAGGUUUAUAGAAUCAUUUAUCCUUGCCUUUUUUUUUUUUAAUGAUAAAACAGUCAGGAUAUUUGGAAAAUAGGGAAAUCCCUCACCCCAAACCCAUGCCUGGUAAAUAAGCACUAAAUAACCAUCAAACGGCUGAAUUCUGCUACCUGCUGCAGCCACUCCAGUUCACUCUUACCUAUUCACAGUAGGAGUGUAGAAUUUUACAUUUUCUGUCUGAACAGUAUGAGAAGCAUCUCUCCAUUGGUACAACCUCCAAGCUACUGACAACUUAUAAAAUCAUCUGAUUAUCUCUGAAAACCCAAUGACAAGACACUCAGCUUUCCCCGUACUUGAGUCAUGUGACACACGAACAGACCUCCUCCCCAGAAAGUCAAGUCUAAGACCUUCCCCACCGGAAGGUAAAAACCCUUCAGGGUGCAAGGCUGGAGGCCCUCAGUGCCCAUCACCCAGCCCUCCCACUGGAGAACAGUCAUCACCACACUGUGAACUUAUCGUAGAAUAGAUUUAUUUACCUGAAACCAUGUCUGUGCAAUGCUUGUUACCAGCACAGAAAUAGACAACUGAUCUCUAUUUACAGUCUAAAGUCAAACAUGCGUUGUGAUAAAUUGACGUUUAGCAUUUUAUUAAGAUAAAUGCAUCACAAUAUUCAUACUGCACCAACAUCUGUCCACUGCUUCUGAUUUCAUUAAAUAAGUUACAUUUAAUACAGUGCAAAAUAGCUGCACACUCAAAAAAAUAACUGAAGUUAUGAACUGGAGGCCUACAUUCUAACCUUUCAA